GAGGGGAGGAUCAAUCCAACAAGAACUGCUAAUUCUCGCCCCUGAGCCUAGAAACCUCAGUCCCCUUA
rnacentral:tRNA from 1 species